AUAUGGUGUAAUAGAAAAAUAAUAACAAUGAAGUUUAAGACAUCAAUAACGAUUUUAUCACUUGUUAUUCUUAAAGUUAUACAUGCAGCAGUACCUGAAGAUCCUUGUCCAAGUAAUAUUAACGAUAUUGUGGUAGAUAUGUGUACAGACGAUUCUGCAGUAGAAGACAGCGUUGAUGGAAAUAAACCAGUUGAUAGUGUAGUAGUACGUAUAACUAAACAACAAAACAACUGUAU